rnacentral:rRNA from 1 species
GGGGGCCUGCGCAAGGAUCUUUG